UUUCUCUGUUUAUCCCUGCCUCUCCCCUUUACGUUGAGUUCAGGGGAAGGCAGGGUGGGAAGGCAGUGAAGCCAGGGAGGGGACGAGAGAAUGGAGGCGUGGGGCGGAGAAAGGGGGCGCGGUGAAAACCUGACGGACUGGACCCCGGGAGGAAACCUGGAGUGAGCAAGAGAUUUCAGGAAAGAAAAGGAAAAUGCGAAGUGACGCAAAGGAGGAAAGGGGCAGGAGGCGAGCGCGCAGGCAGCGCUGGACGCGGAGACCCAGGGAACUGCAUCCUGCCUACUUGGGAAUCUCCUAGAAAGUACACGUACACCACCCACCAACAACUGCGCCCGAAGAACUCGCAGCUACGUGACAACAUGCUAUAGCACCCUGGGUCCUGGCACACUUCUUGUGUUGUCUGUGAUGAAAGAUGAAGUGGCGUCUCAAGAAGGUGAAAGCAAAAACAAGGACAAGUAGAGCAACGAUUAACAACAACAAGACAAACUGCAGCCUGACUUGGCCUUCCCUGCAGUAAAAGAAUUUUGAAUUUGAGCCAAAGAAUUCUCCAUUUCGUUCUGUAGCAGGCUCCGGUCCCUUUUGGAAAAGUUGCUAUUCUAGGCA